rnacentral:rRNA from 1 species
GUUAUAGGGACAAGUGAAUAAGUGCACAUGGCGGAUGCCUUGGCGAUUACAGGCGAUGAAGGACGUAGUAGCUUGCGAUAAGCUGCGGGGAGUUAGCAAACAAACUUUGAUCCGCAGAUUUCCGAAUGGGGAAACCCACCCUUUUAGGGUAUCACUCACUGAAUACAUAGGUGUGUGAGGCGAACGCGGCGAACUGAAACAUCUAAGUAGCUGCAGGAAAAGAAAUCAACCGAGAUUCCCAAAGUAGUGGCGAGCGAAAUGGGAAGAGCCUGUACGUGAUAGUCGUUUUGAUAGUGGAAUCCUCUGGAAAUAGGAACCAUAGCGGGUGAUAGUCCCGUACACGAAAUCAAAGCGGUGGUACUAAGCGUACGACAAGUAGGGCGGGACACGAGAAAUCCUGUCUGAAUAUGGGGGGACCAUCCUCCAAGGCUAAAUACUCGUAAUCGACCGAUAGUGAACCAGUACCGUGAGGGAAAGGCGAAAAGAACCCCGGGAGGGGAGUGAAAUAGAUCCUGAAACCGUGUGCAUACAAACAGUAGGAGCAGACUUGUUCUGUGACUGCGUACCUUUUGUAUAAUGGGUCAGCGACUUACAUUCAGUGGCAAGGUUAACCAGAUAGGGAAGCCGUAGAGAAAUCGAGUCCGAACAGGGCGAUAGUCGCUGGGUGUAGACCCGAAACCA